GAUUAUGGCUCAGAUUGAACGCUGGCGGCAGGCCUAACACAUGCAAGUCGAACGGUAACAGGAAGCAGCUUGCUGCUUGCUGACGAGUGGCGGACGGGUGAGUAAUGUCUGGGAAACUGCCCGAUGGAGGGGGAUAACUACUGGAAACGGUAGCUAAUACCGCAUAAUGUCGCAAGACCAAAGAGGGGGACCUUCGGGCCUCUUGCCAUCGGAUGUGCCCAGAUGGGAUUAGCUUGUUGGUGAGGUAACGGCUCACCAAGGCGACGAUCCCUAGCUGGUCUGAGAGGAUGACCAGCCACACUGGAACUGAGACACGGUCCAGACUCCUACGGGAGGCAGCAGUGGGGAAUAUUGCACAAUGGGCGCAAGCCUGAUGCAGCCAAUGCCGCGUGUAUGAAGAAGGCCUUCGGGUUGUAAAGUACUUUCAGCGGGGAGGAAGGGGUUAAGGUUAAUAACCUUAGCCAUUGACGUUACCCGCAGAAGAAGCACCGGCUAACUCCGUGCCAGCCGCCGC
rnacentral:rRNA from 1 species